GAUGAACGCUGGCGGCGUGCCUAAUACAUGCAAGUCGAGCGAACAGAUGAGGAGCUUGCUCCUCUGACGUUAGCGGCGGACGGGUGAGUAACACGUGGAUAACCUACCUAUAAGACUGGGAUAACUUCGGGAAACCGGAGCUAAUACCGGAUAAUAUAUUGAACCGCAGGGUUCAAUAGUGAAAGACGGUUUUGCUGUCACUUAUAGAUGGAUCCGCGCCGCAUUAGCUAGUUGGUAAGGUAACGGCUUACCAAGGCAACGAUGCGUAGCCGACCUGAGAGGGUGAUCAGCCACACUGGAACUGAGACACGGUCCAGACUCCUACGGGAGGCAGCAGUAGGGAAUCUUCCGCAAUGGGCGAAAGCCUGACGGAGCCACACCGCGUGAGUGAUGAAGGUCUUCGGAUCGUAAAACUCUGUUAUUAGGGAAGAACAACUGUGUAAGUAACUAUGCACGUCUUGACGGUACCUAAUCAGAAAGCCACGGCUAACUACGUG
rnacentral:rRNA from 1 species